rnacentral:rRNA from 1 species
GAUGAACGCUGGCGGCGUGCCUAAACAUGCCAGUCGAGCGAACAGACGAGGAGCUUGCCCCUUCGACGUUUGCGGCGGACGGGGGAGUAAAACGUAGGUAACCUACCUAUAAGGCUGGGGUUACUUCGGGAAACCGGGGCUAAUACCGGAUAAUAAUUCGAAACGCCUGGUUCGAUAGUGAAAAAAGGCUUUGCUUUCACCUAUAGAUGGACCUGCGCCGUAUUAGCUAGUUGGUAAGGUAACGGCUUACCAAGGCAACGAUACGUAGCCGACCUGAGAGGGUGAUCGGCCACACUGGAACUGAGACACGGUCCAGACUCCUACGGGAGGCAGCAGUAGGGAAUCUUCCGCAAUGGGCGAAAGCCUGACGGAGCAACGCCGCGUGAGUGAUGAAGGUCUUCGGAUCGUAAAACUCUGUUAUUAGGGAAGAACAUACGUGUAAGUAACUGUGCACGUCUUGACGGUACCUAAUCAGAAAGCCACGGCUAACUACGUG